GGUGCUACAGCUGCUCACAAUGAGGCUGUUGGAGUUUGACUACACAUAAAUAUUGACUCAAUGAGUUUUUGUAGUGGAUGUUGGUGACAGUUGUCCACUAUAGGAGUAGGGUAUGCACUUAGAUAGAAUCUAUCGAUCCUAGUAGAGGAGAGUCAUCCUAUGAGAUUUAAGAAGCUGAGUUCUUAAGUCUAUGAUCAUAGCGGUGUGAUUGAUGAAAAAUUUUUUUUAUAAGAAUC
rnacentral:lncRNA from 1 species